UACGUAGGGUGCGAGCGUUAAUCGGAAUUACUGGGCGUAAAGCGUGCGCAGGCGGUUUUGUAAGUCAGAUGUGAAAUCCCCGGGCUUAACCUGGGAAUGGCAUUUGGGACUGCAAGGCUCGAGUGCGGCAGAGGAGACUGGAAUUCCUGGUGUAGCAGUGAAAUGCGUAGAUAUCAGGAGGAACACCGAUGGCGAAGGCAGGUCUCUGGGCUGACACUGACGCUCAGGCACGAAAGCGUGGGGAGCAAACAGG
rnacentral:rRNA from 1 species